UACGAAGGGUGCAAGCGUUACUCGGAAUUACUGGGCGUAAAGCGUGCGUAGGUGGUUCGUUAAGCCUGUCGUGAAAGCCCCGGGCUCAACCUGGGAAUGGCGAUGGAUACUGGCGGGCUAGAGUGCGGUAGAGGAGAGUGGAAUUCCCGGUGUAGCAGUGAAAUGCGUAGAGAUCGGGAGGAACAUCAGUUGCGAAGGCGGCUCUCUGGACCAGCACUGACACUGAGGCACGAAAGCUAGGGGAGCAAACAGG
rnacentral:rRNA from 1 species